rnacentral:rRNA from 1 species
AUUGAACGCUGGCGGCAUGCUUUACACAUGCAAGUCGAACGGCAGCGCGGGCUUCGGCCUGGCGGCGAGUGGCGAACGGGUGAGUAAUACAUCGGAACGUGCCCAGUAGUGGGGGAGAGCUCGGCGAAAGCCGGAUUAAUACCGCAUACGACCUGAGGGUGAAAGCGGGGGAUCUUCGGACCUCGCGCUAUUGGAGCGGCCGAUGGCAGAUUAGCUAGUUGGUGGGGUAAAGGCCUACCAAGGCGACGAUCUGUAGCUGGUCUGAGAGGACGACCAGCCACACUGGGACUGAGACACGGCCCAGACUCCUACGGGAGGCAGCAGUGGGGAAUUUUGGACAAUGGGCGAAAGCCUGAUCCAGCAAUGCCGCGUGUGUGAUGAAGGCCUUCGGGUUGUAAAGCACUUUUGGCGGGAACGAAAAGGACUGUGCCAAUACCACGGUUCGAUGACGGUACCCGAAGAAUAAGCACCGGCUAACUACGUG